GUGCCAGCCACCGCGGUUAUACAAAAUAUGUAAAUAAAUAUUGUUAUUUUAUAGUUAAAUGUUUUAUAUAAAUAAAUUAUUUAUUUUAAAGGUGAAAUUUACAUAAGUAAUAUAAGUUUAAAAACAUGUUUUUUGAAGCUAUUAAAUUUUAAUAAUAAACUAGGAUUAGAUACCCUAUUAUUUAAUAAGUAAAAUAUAUAAAAAAUAAGGUAGUAAUAGUUAUAGGCUUGAAACUUAAAAAAUUUGGCGGUAUUUUAGUCUUUUUAGAGGAACCUGUUCCAUUAUUGAUAAUCCACGAUAAAUUUUACAUAAUUUUAUUUAAUUUGUAUAUCGUCGUUAUAAGAAAAUUUUAUAAGAAUUUAAAUUUUCUAAAAUUUAGAAUAUAAUUUAUUUCAGAUCAAGGUGCAAUAUAUAAUUAUGAGGAGAUGGGUUACAAUAAAUUUAUUUAUUAUGAAUAAUAGUCUGAAAAUUAACUGUUUGAAAGUGGAUUUAAAAGUAAUUUAAAUUAUAUAAUUUAAUUGAUUUUAGCUCUAAAAUAUGCACAUAUCGCCCGUCACUCUCUUCUAUUAAUUAAAAAGAGAUAAGUCGUAACAAAGUAGGUUUACAGGAAAGUGUACUUAGAAUGAU
rnacentral:rRNA from 1 species